CUACCCCGCUUCGGAGUGAAUCAGUCUCAUGCAGGGAAUGGUUACCUUGCAAGAGUACCCUAGAAUCUAAAACUAAUAUUUUUUACCACUUUUGAGGCCUUUCUUAGUCCUCGAGUUUGAAAUGACUUAGUUCUCUAGAGAACGAAUGGUUACUCUACACGUGUGACGUUAUAAAGAUUCUUCGGUAAAGAAUGUAAUAAAACAAAAAACUGAUCGAAUUAAAAUCUCGUGUAAAUGCAAUCCAGGGAGUCGAGAAGGCUAUUUAGUUCAUUAUACCCCUCGGGACUGGUCUUUCCAGCUCUCAAUAAUAAGAGCAAUCCCGAGCGAAGUAUAGGGAUCGUUACACCCCGAUAAUAGCAAUGGUUAGAAACAAAAGAAGUUCAUGCAUAUGCAAUAUACAUACCUACUGCAUGUAUCAGUUUUUAUAAAUUUCUCAAAGACUUUCACUGGUGGUCAUAUUACCAGAAAUGAAAUACUCAAGCUAUACCGAUGGCGAUGAAAUUAACACAAUUCCAAAACAAUUAAAACUUAAAUGAAAGUAUGUCCUCAUUUUAGAAAAUAGUUUGAAAUAAGUUUCAAUUAUUACCGAAUCGUGUUAAUUGCGUCGCGUGUAUAUGAAAAUAUUUUAUAUAUAUUUGCAUUUGUGCAAGUUCUCGCAGAUUUCCCCGUGUAUUCAUUUGCAUAAAUACACCCCAAAGCUCAACUAUAAAAACUAUCCCCUAAACUAUAACCAGUCUACGUCCAAACGCACGUACCAUUAUCUAUAGCAUUUCAAGCCCUAGUACCGCGCAAAAUCGAACCAAAAACCAACAGUCAUGCUUCGGAAUGUCCCCUUCGCAGGACGAAGGUUUCUCCAUUUAUAGAACGCAAUCGUCUAGGAAUCGCGAAAAAAGGACCUCGAACUAGCCCCUCCUUUUUCCGAAUGAUCCCUGUUCGCGAACGAAAGCUCGCGAGCAAUGCACCUUAAAAGAGAUCAGCCUGUCGCCGUUAGGACAAAAGCUCACCGGUGUGUUUCAGCCUCGAAAUAGCAGCGUCGGGACGUCGACUCUCGGGUAUCUCGCGUUCCACGGUGCAACGACACUUUUCCUUUCUUCGUCCUCGUCUUCGUCCUCUUCUUCGUGGCGUCGCACACGAUUCUUCGAAAAUAAAUACUUCCCACGCGGCGAAUGCCCACGAAUCGAAUAAAUAAAUAAAUAAAAAAAUAGUAAGAGGUAAAUGAAAAGGCGCGGGGGGUCGUGCACGAGGUGCGAGUUCGACGCUGCUCCUCCCCCGACCCUCCAACCCACAGAGGACCGUCCAAGUCGACGCGCUUUCAACGACUGCUUGCGCUCGUUCUACCCCGAGACACCGCGAACCUCUCGCACUGGAGCUUUUUUUUGUACCCUUCCGCGCGGCUGCUUUCCCCACCGCCCAGACUUUCCCCUACUAUUUUCUCCGAGUUUGGGAGGCGAUGAGAUUUCGAUAUACUUUACGGGCUUUCCAGGAGUUUCAUCGUUUUCGAGGUGUACUGGUGCUCGCUGAUUAUUUCGAACGAUGAAUUUGCUCAUUUUAUGGUUUGGAUAUUGGAGAUGGGCGGGUUCAGAUGUUGCCGAGGGUUCUCCUGGUUAUUUUUAACGUUCUGAUGGUUUUAGAAAAUCUUCGAUGUCGACAGUGAAUUUUCAAGCAUUUUCUGAACAUUUUCUUUCGGUUUCUUCUCGAGCUUUUAUUUUUAUAUUUCUUCGUAGGUUUUCCAAGAGUUGAGUAUCCAGGAAUCUUUGAUCGUUUCUGAGGUGUUUAUCUUCUUUCUUGUUUAUUUUUAUUAACUCUGAAUGUUUCGAUGGAAAAUUUUUAAAUACAGUCUGUCUGACUCAAAGUGGAUUCAGACGUGGUCUGACCAUGGCGGAAGAAUCCACUGAAAUGCUUCGCGAGGAAAUACGAGACCAUUCGAAGUAAAGUGUACAAACCUGCAAGGUGUACAGUGUACACGUACACAAAACUAUAAAGAAUCUUCUCGUGUGAUACUUCAUCUAAGUGUCGACAGGGUGAUAAUUGUUAUACAUUCAUUACAACGCGUCGCAUCCCAAGUGUCUGCUCAGACAUCCAGUCGAGCUAUUUUUUCCGAGUUCUUCGUCUUUGUUCCGUCGUGGGAUGCGUAUCCGCCGGAACUAGUCCACGAUUUACUUUUUUUUCCACUAUGGUGACUCGUCGGUGCCUCGGGUUAACAUUCUCUUCGACCGGAAAUCGCGGCUAAAAUUCCUACCAGUCGAAUUAUCUCUCAUUAAUCGUAACAAAAAUCGUAUCGAAUCGAGCUAAACGAAUUACAACGAAACGACUGAAUCGAAUCGAACGAAUUUAAAAUGAAUUUAAUUUCAUCCAAUUACUAAAAUUACUAUCGUAAAAAUGGUAGAAUUUCAUAAUCGAUCUCUAUCCACUCGUAAUCGUCUCAAUUCGUCGAGAUACAAUCAACACCCUCCAAUCGCAAUGGUGCACAUCUUUAUUCGUACGAAAAUCUUAUUUGUUAACAUUGUUGAAUUACCACGAGUUACCCCACAGACCAAGUUUGUAUUACAGACGCCAUUCUAAUUUAAAUCUCGCCACGAGAGAAGAUCUCGGAUCCUCGAUACGCGAUUAUUUUCAAAACGAAUGGCGCCUGCAACCAUUAAACCGCGAUAUCGCCGGAUGUCGCGUUCCCUUUGAAGCCACG